CCAGGCUGCCAGGGGGUAAACUGGGCAGGAGGGACAGUCACAGUCCUGGGGUGGGUGUUUGCAACCAGGCAGCUGUGAGCCCCCUCACUGUGCACAGAUUCAGGCUGGAGGUUGACCUUCCAGAGGCUAGCAGUGCUCUCUCACCAGAGGAAACAGCCAUGGAGCACGUCCUCCAGCCUGCAAGGAUGAAAUACCUUCAAGGCCCCCACAUAAAGCGAGGCCCAGGCAGGGCCUAUGGCCCCUUGGCUCUUGAGGUAGAAUUGGUUUCUGCCUCCCAUUUGGAGAAAGAGGAACCAAAUGAAGACGAGAAGAAGGAGGAGAAACAGGAUCCAGAUCUUGCCUCAGACCUCGAGGAGGAGGAGGAAGUGGAGGAGGAGGAAGGAGAGAAUGACCUUGGAGAUCCAGCUGUCCUCAGCGCUGUCCAUAACACCCAGAAAGGUCUUCUCAGCUCCCCUGGAAUCAAGGCCUCUGGUGUCCUGGGGAUGUCACCUGCCUCCUUGCACUUUCAGUGGCAGACUCCGGACUACCUGGUGCCACUUCCCUUCCAGCCUGCCUUUCCCAGUGCCAGCUCUCCCACCAAGUACUUUGGACCUCCACUGCCCUCGCCAGACCCACCUCUCCUCGGCAGCCCAUCGACCUCGUGGCCCCUUAGGCUCAGUUUUCCCAGUCAUCUGACCCAGCUCCACCCUCAGCACCAGCGGAUCUUGAAGCAGCAGCAAUCUAGUCAACCACCAAGUUCCCCAGCCAAGGAGCCUUGGUCUCAGCAGCCAGACCCUUAUGCUAACCUCAUGAGCCAAAAAGAGAAGGACUGGGUGGUAAAAGUGCAGAUGGUUCAGCUGCAGAGUGAGAACCCCCGCCUGGAUGACUAUUACUACCAGGAAUAUUAUCAGAAACUAGAGAAGAAGCAGGCAGAGGAAGAGCGGUUUGGGCGGAAGACCAAGGUUGAGUCCCUCAAGCUGGUCACACCUUAUAUUCAGAAGGCUGAAACCUAUGAGUCAGUGGUUCGAAUCAAGGGUUCCCUGGGUCAGGUAGCUGUUUCGACGUGUUUCAGCCCUCGCCGAGCUAUUGAUGCUGUGCCCCACGGAACUCAAGAGCAGGAGACAGGAGCCGCAGGAAGUCAGAGGCUUCAGGUGUUGUACCGGAUUGAGAAGAUGUUCCUUCAGUUACUAGAGAUAGAAGAGGGCCAGAAGGAUGUGACUUCACAGCCCUGUGACCCUGAGCAGCAGAGCAACCAGGCUGAGAAGCUCUUCCAGGCCUUAAAGACCCAUGAGCAGAAUGAUCUGGAGGAAGCAGCAGAUGGCUUCCUCCAGGUGCUCUCCAUCAGGAAAGGCAAAGCCCUAGUGGCCCGGCUGCUCCCCUUCCUGCCCCAAGAUCGAGCUGUCAGCCUUCUUCUGACCAUCACCCGCCAUCUGCCUUUCCUGGUCAGGAGGGAUGUGGCUGAUCAGGCCUUGCAACUGUUAUUCAACCCUCUGAGCAAAUGUAUCAGUCACUUGACAUUCCAAGAACUCCUCCAAGGACUUCAGGGCCUCAUGGAGCUACCACCUGGCUGCUCAGAGCGGCCGGUCACUGUGGUGCUUCAGAAUCAGUUUGGAAUAUCUUUGCUCUACACUCUGCUGAGUCAUGGGGAGCAGCUGGUAUCCCUGGAUUCUUCCUUAGAGGAACCCAACAGUGGCCGUACAGCUUGGACAGACAUGGUGGUUCUCACUGCCUGGGAGAUAGCCCAGAUGCCCACAGCCUCUCUGGCAGAACCCCUGGCUUUCUCCAGCAACCUCCUUCCCCUGUUCUGUCACCACGUGGACAAACAGUUGGUCCAGCAGCUGGAAGCUAGGAUGAAGUUUGUAUGGGAGGAUUCUCAUAACAGUGGGACACCAACAGACAAGCCCAGACUGCUUGCUCUUAGUGAAAAUUAUGAACUGCUCAUCUAUGAGUUUAAUUUGAAAGAUGGAAGAUGUGAUGCAACCGUUUUGUAUAGCUAUAGUGAGGAGACAUUGCAAAAGCUCAUUGGAGAUCAAAAUGUCAGUAUAUCUUUAUUAUCUUUGAGAAUUCUGUCAUUUCACAGUAACAGAUCAUUAUUAUUCAUCAACAAAUGUAUCGUCCUACACAUUAUAUUUCCUGAAAGAAAUGCUGACAUUAGGGUACUCAGCUGUUUCACAUUACCCUUACCUGCACAGACGGUGGACAGGAUUAUUGACACACAGCUCUGCAGAGGAAUUCUUUUUGUUUUGAGUAGUUUAGGCUGGAUCUACAUUUUUGACAUUGUGGAUGGCAGACAUGUAGCUCAUGUGGACUUAGCACUUCAUCAAGAAGAUAUGUGUAAUGAACAGCCACAGGAGCCAUCUACGAUUUCUUCCUUUACUUCACUGAAAGUGUCUCAAGACCUCGAUGUUAUAAUGAUUGUCAGCUCCUCCAACACUGCAGUUGCUCUUAACUUAAAUUUGUAUUUCAGGCAACACCCAGGACACCUAUUAUGUGAAAGAACUCUAGAAGACAUUCCUAUUGAAGGCCCUAAGGGGAUAGAUGAAGAUGAUCCUGUUAAUUCUGAGUACAACAUGAAAUUGACCAAGUUUUCCUUCCAAGUCGAUAGGUCUUGGAAAGCCCAGCUGUCAUCACUGAAUGAAACAAUAAAGAGCUCUAGGCUGGAAGAUUACUGUUGUGCUCCAUGGUUCCAGGAUAUUUUGCAUUUGGAGUCCACUGAAUCUGGUGACCACCGUACCUGUGUGCCAAGCUGGUCCUUCAUUCUGCAGAAUGUAAUGCACAGCCAGUAUAAUUUUCCACAGAAAGGUCCUUCCAAGACCGUUGAUCCAGGAAGAUCAUGGAAAAGAAUGCGCAUCAGUGAACAGGAGGAACCCUUUGAGCUUACAUGUGUGUCUGUGACAGGCUUUACUGCACUGUUUACUUGGGCGGUGGAAAGGACAGGCUGUACCAUUGCCCUAUGGGAUUUGGAGACCCAGGGCAUGCAGUACUUUUCCCUGGGUAAAAGAUGUAUUCCUGUAGACAGCAGUGGAAGCCAGCAACUGUGCCUUGUUUUAACAGAAAAUGGACUCUCUCUGGUUUUGUUUGGUUUGACUCAGGAGGAGUUUUUAAAUAGACUAAUGAUCCAUGGAAGUGCCAGCACUGUGGACUCACUUUGCCAUCUCAAUGGUUGGGGGAGGUGCUCCAUCCCCAUACAUGCCCUAGAGGCAGGUAUAGAAAAUCGUCAGCUGGACACAGUAGAUUUCUUCUUGAAAAGCAAGGAAAAUCUUUUGAAUCCAUCCUCAAAAUCUUCUGUACCUGAUCAGUUUGAUCACUUUCCAUCCCACUUGUAUUUAAAACAUGUGGAAGAGCUGACACCAGCAUUGGAUUUACUUUGCUCAGCAAUUAGAGAAAAUGAUUCUGAAACCCAAAGCAAACACUUUUCAGAACAAUUGCUUAAUCUUACACUGUCUUUCCUUAACAAACAAAUAAAGGAGCUUUUUAUUCACAAUGAAGAGCUAGAUGAACAUCUACAGAAAGGAGUGAACAUUUUCACCAGCUACAUUAAUGAACUUCGAACCUUCCUGAUAAAGUUUCCUUGGAAGCUAACGGAUGCUGUAGAUGAAUAUGAUGUAAAAGAAAAUGUCCCCAAAGUAAAGGAGAGCAAUAUAUGGGAGGAACUCAGCGUUGAGGAAGUUAUUGCUGAUGCCAUUUUAAAUAACAAAAUACCAGAGGCACAAACUUUCUUCAGGAUUAACAGUCAUUCUGCUCAAAGACUUGAGGAGUUGAUUAAAAUAGGCCUAGAUUUGGUCUUUGACAGUUUGAAAAAGAACAAUGUAAAGGAAGCCUCUGAGCUUUUGAAGAAUAUGGGCUUUAAUGUAAAAGACCAGUUGCUCAAGAUAUGCUUCUAUACAACUGAUAAAAAUAUACGGGACUUUUUGGUUGACAUUUUAAAAGAAAAAAAAUAUUUUUCUGAAAAAGACAAAGGAACUGUAGAGUUCGUGCAUCAAGUUGAGAAGUUUUAUUCAGGAUCUUUCCAAGAAAAUAUGCAGAUCCAGUCCUUUCCAAGGUAUUGGAUAAGGGAACAAGAUUUUUUCAAGCACAAGUCUGUUUUGGACUCGUUCCUGAAUUAUGAUCAUAAAGAUAAAGAUAAACUUAACAAACAAGGUCAUAAAAUUGUGUUAAAUUGGGCUCAUUGGUGGCAUCGACUAACACAAGAAUCCAUCCUUCUCCCCAGGAUAAGUCCAGAAGAAUACAAAUCAUAUUCUCCUGAAGCCCUUUGGAGAUACCUCACGGCUCGCCAUGAUUGGGUCAGCAUUAUCUUGUGGAUUGGAGAAUUUCAGACCCAGAAUAGUUAUGCUUCACUUCAGCAGAAUAAAUGGCCCCCUCUGACUACUGAUGUUAUGGAUCAGAAUACUUGCUGCAACAACUACAUGAGGAAUGCAAUUUUAGAUAAGCUGGCCAGGAAUGGGAUUUUUCUUACAUCUGAACUAGAAGACUUUGAACUCUUUCUCCUAAGACUGAACCGUAUUGGGGGCGUGAUGCAAGAUAGCCUCCCUGUUCAAAACUACAAGUCCAAAGAAGGUUGGGAUUUCCAUUCUCACUUCAUUCUCUACUGUUUGGAAUACAGUCUGCAGCAUCUGCUUUAUGUCUACCUUGACUAUUACAAACUUAGUCCUCCAAAUUGUCCCUUUCUGGAAAAAAAAGAAUUGCAUGAAGCUCACCCUUGGUUUGAAUUUUUAGUUCAGUGUCGACAAGUUUCCAGUAAUUUAACAGAUCCCAAACUGAUCUUCCAGGCUAGCCUUGCAAAUGCUCAGAUACUGAUUCCCAGCAACCAAGCCAGCAUAAGCAGUAUGCUAUUGGAAGGACAUACGCUCCUGGCCCUUGCUACCACAAUGUAUGCCCCUGGGGGUGUUAGCCAGGUUGUUCAGAAUGAAGAAAAUGAGAACUGUUUGAAGAAAGUAGAUCCCCAGCUACUGAAGAUGGCAUUAACUCCUUAUCCCAAGCUUAAAACUGCUCUCUUCCCACAGUACACUGCCCCUACUGUCCUGCCGUCUGAUAUUACACUCUACCACCUUAUCCAGUCAUUAUUGCCUUUUGAUCCUAGCAGAUUGUUUGGCUGGCAAUCUGCCAACACACUGGCUAUAGGAGAUGCAGUGAGUCAGCUUCCACAUUUCUCUAGCCCUGACCUGGUUAAUAAAUACGCUAUAGUAGAACGUCUAAAUUUUGCUUAUUAUUUACAUCACGGACGACCAUCAUUUGCAUUUGGUACUUUUCUGGUUCAAGAAUUAACCAAGAGCAAGACUCCCAAGCAGCUAAUUGCUUGGCCUCGACAGCCUCAAGCUCAGAGUUGAUAUGAAAGUGGCCAAUAUAAUUUUGAGCUACAAGUGCAGAAAUGAAGAUGCUCAGUACAACUUUAUCAGAGAGUCUCUCGCUGAAAAACUAUCUAAACUGGCUGUGGGUGAAAAGGCAACCACAGAAGAAUUGCUUAUUCUCUUAGAAGAAGCUAUAUGGAACAACAUUCAGCAGCAGGAAGUAAAGAGGUUAUCCAGUGAAUCCAGCAGCCAGUGGGCAUUAGUGGUACAGUUCUGCAGGCUCCACGACAUGAAACUGAGCACAUCCUACCUUAGAGAAUGUGCAAAAGCAAAUGAUUGGUUACAGUUUAUUGUUCACAGCCAACUCCAUAAUUACCAUCCAGAGGAGGUGAAAUCUCUUCUCCAGUAUUUCAGCCCUGUUCUUCAAGACCACUUAAGACUAGCUUUUGAGAACUUGCCCUCAGUCUCCAACUCCAGAAUGGACAGUGACCAAGUCUGCAACAAGUUCCCACAGGAACUCCAGAGAAAGAAAGAAAAGACUGAUUUCUUUGAAAUUCUGCUCCAGUGCUCAGAGGUGCCAAACUCCUGGUGCUGGCUCCUAGCAGAAGCAGUGGAACAACAGGCUCCAAUCCUUAGUGUCCUGGCCUCAUGUCUCCAGGAUGCCAGUGCUAUUCCUUGUCUCUGCGUUUGGAUCAUCACUUCUGUGGAGCACAGUGUUGCAGUUGAAGCAAUGGGACACAUUCAGGGCACAAUAGAAGACCACACCUGGGACCUUGAGGACCUCUCAGUCAUCUGGAGAACAUUAUUAACAAGGCAGAAGAGCAAAACUCUCAUCAGAGGUUUCCAACUUUUCUUUAAGGAUUCCCCAUUACUAUUGAUGAUGGAGAUGUAUGAACUUUGUAUGUUCUUCAAGAAUUAUAAGGAAGCUGAAGCUAAACUUCUGGAAUUCCAGAAAAGCCUUGAAACUCUUGAAACAGCAACCCCAAGGGUCCAUGCUAUCAUCCCUGCCCCUUGGCUGAAGGAGCACGUCUGUUUUCUUUUGAAGCUUAUGCUGCAGCAGUGUAGGACCCAGUAUGAGCUGGGAAAGCUUUUGCAGCUGUUUGUUGGAAUACAGCAUCUCUUCUCUGAUGGUCCAGAUGUGAAGAAGCUAUGUGUCCUUAGCCAAAUUUUGAAGGAUACAUCCAUAACCAUUAAUCAUGUAAUUAUUACCAACUACAGCCUAGAAAAUUUUCAACAUGAAUGUAAGUCUAUUUUGGAAAAGCUAGAGACAGAUGGACAGUUUGCCUUGGCCAGGAGGGUAGCAGAAUUAGCUGAGCUACCUGUGGACAACUUGGUUAUUGAAGAGAUAACGCAGGAAAUGCGGGCCUUAAAACACAUUGACCAGUCGUCUCUGAAACAAGCAAGAAUUGACUUCUGGAAAAAAUGUCAUGAGAAUUUUAAGAAAAAUUGCAUUUCAAGCAAAGCAGCAUCUUCCUUUUUCUCAGCCCAGGCUUUUAAGGCAUGUGAGUGCCCAGCUGAGAAGGGAUGGAGCAACACUGAGGAGCGCCAUCUGCUGCUAACACUAGCAGGGCACUGGCUUUCCCAGGAGGACCCGGUGCCUCUGGAAGAGCUGGAGGAGUUAGAGAAGCAAAUCUGGCUCUGCCGUAUCACCCAGCACACUCUCAGAGGAAAUCAGGAGGAAAUAGAGCCCAGAUGUUCUCAACACAUCUCAACUAGUGGUGAACUUUCCUUUGACAGUUUAGCCAGUGAGUUUUCAUUCUCUAAGUUGCCUGCUCUGAACACAUCAAAGUACUUAAAACUUAAUGGCCUUCCUUCCAAAGACAACUGUGAGAAUAGACUGGAUUGGAAGGAGCAGGCAUCCCUAAACUUUUUGAUUGGGCACCUAUUGGAUGAUGGCUGUGUGCAUGAAGCAAGUAGAAUAUGCCGGUAUUUUCAUUUCUAUAACCAAGAUGUUGCUUUGGCAUUGCACUGCAGAGCACUGGCUUCAGGGGAAGCUAGUGUGGACGACAUGCACCCAGAGAUGGGUGCUCUCCUACGAAGUGCUGAGCUGCUUGAGGAAGAAGAAGAAACUGGCAUUCCUCUAAGGAAAGUCCAAAGCACUUCAAGUUUGGAUAGUCAGUCAUUUGUGAUGCUGCCCCCCAGUGAUGAAGUGGUGACUCAUCUGGAAACUCUGACAAGCAAAUGCCUCCAUGGGAAGAAUUAUUGCCGGCAGGUCCUGUGUCUGUAUGAACUUGCCAAGGAGUUGGGCUGUUGCUACACAGAUGUCGCUGCCCAGGAUGGUGAGGCCAUGCUUCGGGCAAUCCUGGCCUCUCAGCAGCCUGAUCGAUGCAAGCGAGCCCAAGCCUUCAUCAGCACCCAGGGCCUCGAGCCAGACACAGUGGCUGAACUUGUGGCGGAAGAGGUGACCCGGGAGCUGCUGACCCCAUCAGAGGGAACAGGUGCCCUACCUUUCAGGCCUCCCCGGGCUUUCAGACCACAUUCUCAAGUUCCCAGUGUUAAGAAUUUGCUGUUAUGCUCAUAUACUUCUUGUGCGUUGUCCUUUCAAGUUGCCAGGUUGCACUUGUAAGAGAAAAACAUACUGCAUUUAUUUGGUUGUUGUUGCUUUUUGUUUAUUGUUUUAUGAUUGUAUUUAGAGUAGCUGUGCCUUUUUCUGAGCUAAUGAACUCCUACUGUCCUGUAAGAUGCAGCUCAGCCAAGGUAUUUGAGCACAAGAGGAGAGCUGCCCUGGGAGCUCCUUCAGCAUUACCUCCCGGUGCCCAGACCUGCGCAGAGUGGGCCUCCUGCCCUGGGGCUCUUGUCUUUCUCUCACCUCUCUCAAGGUAAAACUAGCACCUUUCCCCCCAUCUUUUUGUACAGGACAUAAGCAGAUCACCCCAACAGAGGAAAGCCAGUCAUUUCUUCAGCUGACUACUUUGUGUCAAGACCGCACCUUGUUAGGCAUGAAGUUGUUGGAUAAGAUUUCCUCUGUACCCCAUGGGGCACUGUCUUGCACCACAGAGCUGCUGAUCCUGGCUCAUCACUGCUUCACACUAACAUGCCACAUGGAGGGGAUCAUCCGAGUCCUGCAGGCCGCCCGGCUACUCACAGACAACCACUUGGCCCCCAGUGAGGAGUACGGGCUGGUGGUGCGUCUCCUCACUGGCAUUGGAAGGUACAAUGAGAUGACCUACAUAUUUGAUUUGCUGCAUAAAAAGCACUAUUUUGAGGUACUGAUGAGGAAGAAGUUGGAUCCGAGUGGUACCCUGAAGACAGCCCUGCUGGACUACAUCAAACGUUGUCGCCCUGGGGACAGUGAGAAGCACAACAUGAUUGCCCUGUGCUUCAGCAUGUGCCGGGAGAUCGGGGAGAACCAUGAGGCAGCUGCCUGCAUCCAACUGAAAUUGAUUGAGUCUCAGCCUUGGGAGGACAGCCUCAAGGAUGGGCACCAACUGAAGCAGCUGCUGUUGAAGGCCCUGACUCUGAUGCUGGAUGCAGCAGAGAGUUAUGCCAAGGAUUCCUGCGUGCGACAGGCCCUGCAUUGUCACCGGCUCACCAAGUUGAUAACACUGCAGAUCCACUUCCUGAACACUGGCCAGAACACAAUGCUCAUCAACCUGGGCCGCCACAGGCUGAUGGACUGUAUCAUGGCACUUCCUCGGUUCUACCAGGCUUCUAUUGUGGCUGAAGCCUAUGACUUUGUUCCUGAUUGGGCUGAAAUUCUAUACCAACAAGUGAUUCUUAAAGGAGACUUUAAUUACUUGGAAGAAUUUAAGCAGCAAAGAUUAUUAAGAUCCAGUAUAUUUGAAGAGAUUUCAAUGAAAUGUAAACAUCAUCAACCUACCGACCUGGUUGUGAAAAACCUGAAGAAGUUACUCACAUAUUGUGAAGAUGUCUACUUGUAUUACAAGUUGGCAUACGAACACAAAUUUUAUGACGUUGUAAAUGUGCUUCUGAAGGACCCUCAGACAGGCUGCUGUCUAAAGGACAUGCUAGCAGGUUAGAUGGAGUCAGAUGACAUGAGGAUAGUUACUGCCAGGAACUGAUAAGUGCCUGAUUUUCUUGUACUGAAAUAAAUAAACGAGAUGUUUGUGGUCAGAGAAGAAUAAUGCACUGGGGAUCUCUGAUGUCUGACUAUAAAACCUCAGGGCUGACCAUACCAGUCCUUUGUGAAUAGUGGGUAAAGAAUGAGAGCAUUUUCACAAGGACAUUCCUAUUUUAAAAUGAUUGUUCAUCUAUACCAUUUUAUAAAGAUACUAGUAUUAUGACUGAUAGCUCCAUCUUCCUCAGGAUAGCUUCUACUUUAGGAUAUGAUACGAUAUUCUAGUAAAAAAUACCUGUGCCUGCAGAUUCCAGUUUCAAAGGAAUUUAAUAUUAUUUACACAGUUAAGGAACAGAUGAUACAUUUCCAUUUGUUAGAAACUGAUGUCUAUAAUAAAAUAGAUUUUUAAAUUCA